UAUUCCCUAGACAAGCAUAUAUAAUAGUUAAUUUCAAUAUAGUGGGAUGGCUUAUAUCUUCAACAUAUCUAAUUCAAUCUCUUUGCAUUUUCUCAUUUUGUUGAUAGUAACCUUUACUUUGGUUAUGAAGUUGGCUCCAGGUUAGUGCAGAUAUGACGAUGAGAAAAUUGGGAGACAGGCCAACUACACCUCCGCCACCACAGCUUAACAGAAGCCCAGGCCCAGCCCAAAUAUAAAGUCAAUACUGGCUUUAAGCUCUCAAUUUGUUAAGAUUUUUAAAGCCUAAAUUUAGGGCAAAAAUAUAUAUAAAUAAGAUUGUGGAUGCAUUUGUUUAAACAC